UUUGUAAAAGGAAUGUAGAGGAUGUGAUUUUUCAUGUUAUGAGUAAAGGUUAUCUUCUUUUGAUCCAUUAACAGCUGUGGAACGUGAAGAAGUAAGCCUUUCCUUGGCUACACGUGGUAUUUCAGAGGCACUGAUGAGCAGGACCUUUGCUUCAAGAGAGCCAGCUACUGCCACCAGAUUAAAAGAAAAAGAUGAUAAGUCUGAAGCAAAAUGUGACCUAGAUGCAGAAGACCCAAGAGAAGAUGGGGGCUAAGAUUACUGUCAACCAAACAAUCACUCUGGAAACAGUGAUUCACAUUAUGCUGAAAAUGUAGUUGUUCAGCCAGCAGCAGAAAAUGUAUCACAUAAAAGAAGAUCAGAAGGGGCAGAUCAACACAUGCCUCCCAGGACUACAUAAUAUGUUGCUGGGCAUUGAUGGCAUCACGGAGAGGACUGUAGCAGAGUUUGGAAAGACCAGAUAAGGCAGAUUGGCGAGUCAUAACAAAGUGAGAGUAAAUCCAGGACCUACACCAUAUUCAAAGUGGUAUGUUUCUGACACUGGUGUAGUGAGUGCAUCAUCUGUUUACUGAUGAAUCAAUACUGAAAGACAUAAAAUACUGAACAGAAACAGAGGCAAAACAUGUUCUAGGAAAUGAAAUGUGAAGUGUAAGUUUGGAGAAACUGGACGAUUUCAUUGCUUUAUUGUAUGCUCGUGGUCUCCUUGGAGCCAAUAGUACUUAACUUGAAGAACUGUGGUCUAAAAAGUGGAGCCCCACCUAUCUUCAGUAAUACAAUGGGCAGAAAAUGUUUUUGAGAAAUUCCAAGAUUUUUGUGCUCCGACAUUAGAAACACAAGAUCAGAACAUUUGAAGACAGGUAAAUUCAUUUCAGUAUCAAAGGUUUGGAACACAAAUUCAUUGAAAAUUGCCAUCUUACCUACAUUCCAGGUGAAAAUCUGACUGCUGAUGAACAGCUUUUUCCAAGCAAAACAAGACGUCCACUCUUACAGUAUAUGUCAAACAAACCAGAAAAAUUUGGUAUAAAAUUUUGGCUUCUUGUCAACGUUGACUCAAAGUUUCUGUGCAGUGGGUUCAAUUUUUUUUUACAACAGUGAAACUGGGUGAGAAGUUGAGAAUAAAAGGUACUAGCAUUGCUGGAACAAUUAGACGAUCAAGAAGAGAAAUCCCUAAUGCUGUGAAGGCUAAUCCUUAUGUCUCAGAUCUCUUCAAACAUUAUGCCGGGAUGGUUCCUCUGAAAGGGCACGGCCGACUUCCUUCCCAAUCCUUCCCUAAUCUGAUGAGACCGAUGACCACGCUGUCUGGUCUCCUUCCCCAAACCAACCAACCAACCAAUCUUCAAACAUUCCAGUGGCACUCUCACUGUAUAUAAAGGCAAACAAAACCAGAAUGUGCUCCUGUAUAGCACUUUGCAUUCAGAAAUUGAACUUCAAACAGGUCCGAAAAAAACUCCAGAAACAAUGGAUUUCUACAACAAUACAAAAUAUGGUGUUGAUGUGGUGGAUCAAAUGGCAAGAAAAUACGCUGUUUGAGCUGGUAGUCAUAGAUUGCCAGUUCAUGUAUUUUAUAAUAUUCUUGACUUGGCAACUAUCAAUUCAUAGAUCGUUUUCAAGAAAGUAAUAGAGUUUAAGAUCACUCAUUGAAAUUAUAUCCUGAAGCUAGCAGAGGAGCUUCGUAUGGGGUAUAUUGACUUUAAAAGUAACUUGGUGAGAACAGACACUGAAUCUAGAAACUCUGUGGAAGUAAAUAAAAUGAUUAGACAAUGUCAAAUAAAGAAGUGUAGGAACAAGACAAGUUAUAUCUGCAAAAAGUGCAAACCCCGAGUGUGUGGUUCUUGUUCAAAGGAUGUAACUACGGACGUGGUAUGUAGUUCCGGCUACUAAAGAUAUGCAAUUCACAUCAGCGAGUGCAAAUAAACCGAAGAAAAAGUCAGGUAGUGAUUUGCAUAUAUGUUGUGGUAUGUGGACUUGACAAACAGAUUUCAUGACUACAAGUGCACUACAUAAAAUAUUACAGUAAUUAAUUUUAUAGUAAUGAGUACACAAUGAAUAUGUCAGCUUCUUUACUACAAAAAUUUGAAAUAAAAACUGUGUUUGUUAA